UCUCUGGUAGUAUAUCGGAUAGUACACCCGCCUGUCAUGGUUCUUCGCAACCACGGUGACGCGGGAGAGCGGGGUUCGACUCCCCGCCAGAGAG